AUGGGUCGUCCUGAUUCCGAGGCGCCGACGUCGAGCAUCGCGGCGGGGCUGGCUGCCGCCCUCGGAGGCGGGGGAGAAGCGCCGGCGCCGGCGGGGGCAGACUCGGCUUUCGAAACCAACGUGGUGAUCAUCCUGGCCGCGGUCUUCUUCGCGCUGCUCUUCGCCAUCGGCCUCCACUCGCUGGCACGGUGCGCGCUCCGGUACGUGGGGUGUGGGGCUGCCGCCGCUGUUGCUGCCGGCGAGGGCAGCGGAGGCGCGGCGGCUCCGGCGGGGACGAGCGGCAGCGGCAUCAAGAGGCGCGUCCUCAGGAGCCUCCCCGUGGAGGUGUACGGCUCAGGGGAGGACAUCGACGACGUGUGCGCCAUAUGCCUCAGCGAGUUCGUGGACGGCGAGAAGGUGCGCGUGCUGCCGCAGUGCGCGCACGGCUUCCACGUCCGCUGCGUCGACGCCUGGCUGGUGUCCAACGGCUCCUGUCCCACGUGCCGGCAGCCGGUCAUCGAAGGCGCGCCCGCGAAGGCGGCGGAGACGAACACGACCGUCACCGUGGUCAUCGUGUGA
rnacentral:rRNA from 1 species